GUGAAUCAUCGAAUUUUUGAACGCACAUUGCGCUUCCUGGUAUCCCGGGAAGUAUGCCUGUUUGAGGGUCAGUAUUAACAAAAAAUCGGGUUUGUUGCGAAUUGUUACGUUUCCGGAGUGGGUGCUUAUCGUAACUUUUUUGGUUAAGGGGCUUAAAAUUGACCUUUUUUGCGCAUUUUUAGUGGUACGUAAAUUUUUUUUUAUUCGUCUGUUUUUAAUGCCAAAAUCUUAUUAAAUGCGAUGACAUC
rnacentral:misc_RNA from 1 species